UACGUAGGGUGCAAGCGUUAAUCGGAAUUACUGGGCGUAAAGCGUGCGCAGGCGGUUCUAUGAGACAGAUGUGAAAUCCCCGGGCUCAACCUGGGAACUGCAUUUGUGACUGUAGAGCUGGAGUGCGGCAGAGGGGGAUGGAAUUCCGCGUGUAGCAGUGAAAUGCGUAGAUAUGCGGAGGAACACCGAUGGCGAAGGCAGCCCCCUGGGCCGACACUGACGCUCAGGCACGAAAGCGUGGGGAGCAAACAGG
rnacentral:rRNA from 1 species